GUGUCAGCAGCCGCGGUAAUACGGAGGAUGCAAGCGUUAUCCGGAAUGAUUGGGCGUAAAGGGUCCGCAGGUGGCAGUGUAAGUCUGCUGUCAAAGAAUGAGGCUUAACCUCAUCAAGGCAGUGGAAACUACACAGCUAGAGUACGGUCGGGGUAGAAGGAAUUCCUGGUGUAGCGGUGAAAUGCGUAGAGAUCAGGAAGAACACCGGUGGCGAAAGCGUUCUGCUAGACCUGUACUGACACUGAGGGACGAAAGCUAGGGGAGCGAAUGGGAUUAGAUACCCCAGUAGUCC
rnacentral:rRNA from 1 species